rnacentral:rRNA from 1 species
AAUGCCGGAUGCUCCAUCACACCGCAUGGUGUGUUGGGAAAGCCUUUGCGGCAUGGGAUGGGGUCGCGUCCUAUCAGCUUGAUGGCGGGGUAACGGCCCACCAUGGCUUCGACGGGUAGCCGGCCUGAGAGGGCGACCGGCCACAUUGGGACUGAGAUACGGCCCAGACUCCUACGGGAGGCAGCAGUGGGGAAUAUUGCACAAUGGGCGCAAGCCUGAUGCAGCGACGCCGCGUGAGGGAUGGAGGCCUUCGGGUUGUAAACCUCUUUUGUUAGGGAGCAAGGCACUUCGUGUUGAGUGUACCUUUCGAAUAAGCACCGGCUAACUACGUGCCAGCAGCCGCGGUAAUACGUAGGGUGCAAGCGUUAUCCGGAAUUAUUGGGCGUAAAGGGCUCGUAGGCGGUUCGUCGCGUCCGGUGUGAAAGUCCAUCGCUUAACGGUGGAUCCGCGCCGGGUACGGGCGGGCUUGAGUGCGGUAGGGGAGACUGGAAUUCCCGGUGUAACGGUGGAAUGUGUAGAUA